UGGGGAAUAUUGGACAAUGGGCGCAAGCCUGAUCCAGCCAUGCCGCGUGAGUGAUGAAGGCCUUAGGGUUGUAAAGCUCUUUCACCGGUGAAGAUAAUGACGGUAACCGGAGAAGAAGCCCCGGCUAACUUCGUGCCAGCAGCCGCGGUAAUACGAAGGGGGCUAGCGUUGUUCGGAAUUACUGGGCGUAAAGCGCACGUAGGCGGACCAUUAAGUCAGGGGUGAAAUCCCGGAGCUCAACUCCGGAACUGCCUUUGAUACUGGUGGUCUAGAGACCGAGAGAGGUAAGUGGAACUCCUAGUGUAGAGGUGGAAUUCGUAGAUAUUAGGAAGAACACCAGUGGCGAAGGCGGCUUACUGGCUCGGAACUGACGCUGAGGUGCGAAAGCGUGGGGAGCAAACAGG
rnacentral:rRNA from 2 species